rnacentral:rRNA from 1 species
UACGGAGGGGGCUAGCGUUGUUCGGAAUUACUGGACGUAAAGCGUGCGUAGGCGGUUUGUUAAGUCUGAUGUGAAAGCCCUGGGCUCAACCUGGGAAUGGCAUUAGAUACUGGCAACCUAGAAUGUGGUAGAGGGUGGCGGAAUUCCCGGUGUAGCAGUGAAAUGCGUAGAUAUCGGGAGGAACAUCCGUGGCGAAGGCGGCCACCUGGACCAACAUUGACGCUGAGGCACGAAAGCGUGGGGAGCAAACAGG